CUGAUCAUCGCGUCCGGGUCAAUUGCGGCUUGCAACACCCGAUCUCGCUCAACGUACCGCCCGAAAUGGCGGUCGCUGAGGGAGAACGCGUGACAGUCAG
ncrna:Halopiger goleimassiliensis L4-Archaeoglobi ribosomal protein leader